rnacentral:rRNA from 1 species
GAUGAACGCUGACAGAAUGCUUAACACAUGCAAGUCUUUGGUGAAGCUGUGCUUGCACAGCCUAGCCAAGGCGGACGGGUGAGUAACGCGUAAGGAACUUGCCCUGCAGUCAGGGAUAACAGACGGAAACGACUGAUAAGACCUGGUAAAGUCAGGCGGACUCAUGUCCAGCCUGAUGAAAAGAGAUGCUGCAGGAGAGCCUUGCGUCCUAUUAGCUUGUUGGUGGGGUAACGGCCCACCAAGGCAAUGAUAGGUAGCCGGCCUGAGAGGGUGGACGGCCACAAGGGGACUGAGAUACGGCCCUUACUCCUACGGGAGGCAGCAGGGGGGAAUAUUGGACAAUGGGGGCAACCCUGAUCCAGCAAUUCUGUGUGCACGAUGAAGGUUUUCGGAUUGUAAAGUGCUUUCAGCAGGGAAGAAAAAAAUGACGGUACCUGCAGAAGAAGCGACGGCUAAAUACGUG